rnacentral:tRNA from 1 species
GGAGUUGUAGCGCAGAGGUCGACGCGCACUCUUGCUCAGAGGGAGGACGCCGGUUCGAUUCCGGCCUGCUCCCCCA